GAUGAGCGCUGGCGGCGUGCCUAAUACAUGCAAGUCGAGCGAAUGGAUUAAGAGCUUGCUCUUAUGAAGUUAGCGGCGGACGGGUGAGUAACACGUGGGUAACCUGCCCAUAAGACUGGGAUAACCCCGGGAAACCGGGGCUAAUACCGGAUAACAUUUUGAACCGCAUGGUUCGAAAUUGAAAGGCGGCUUCGGCUGUCACUUAUGGAUGGACGCGCGUCGCAUUAGCUAGUUGGUGAGGUAACGGCUCACCAAGGCAACGAUGCGUAGCCGACCGGAGAGGGUGAUCGGCCACACUGGACUGAGACACGGCCCAGACUCCUACGGGAGGCAGCAGUAGGGAAUCUUCCGCAAUGGACGAAAGUCUGACGGAGCAACGCCGCGUGAGUGAUGAAGGCUUUCGGGUCGUAAAACUCUGUUGUUAGGGAAGAACAAGUGCUAGUUGAAUAAGCUGGCACCUUGACGGUACCCAUAGAAGAAGCCCCGGCAAACUUCGUGCCAGCCGCCGCGGUAA
rnacentral:rRNA from 1 species